UACGAAGGGGGCUAGCGUUGCUCGGAAUCACUGGGCGUAAAGCGCACGUAGGCGGCUUUCUAAGUCAGGGGUGAAAUCCUGGAGCUCAACUCCAGAACUGCCUUUGAUACUGAGGAUCUUGAGUACGGGAGAGGGAUGCGGAAUUCCAGGUGUAGCGGUGAAAUGCGUAGAUAUCUGGAGGAACACCGGUGGCGAAGGCGGCAUCCUGGACCGGUAUUGACGCUGAGGCGCGAAAGCCAGGGGAGCAAACGGG
rnacentral:rRNA from 1 species